GAUGAACGCUGGCGGCGUGCUUAACACAUGCAAGUCGAACGGAAAGGCCUCUGCUUGCUGGGGUACUCGAGUGGCGAACGGGUGAGUAACACGUGGGUGAUCUGCCCUGCACUUCGGGAGAAGCCUGGGAAACUGGGCCUAAUAUCGGAUAGGACAAGGGUUUGGAUGGUGUGGUGGAAAGCUUUGCGGUGUGGGAUGAGCUCGCGGCCUAUCAGCUUGUUGGUGGGGUAAUGGCCUACCAAGUCGUCGACGGGUAGCCGGCCGGAGAGGGUGUAGGGCCACUUUAGGCCUGAGAGACGGGCCGGACUCCGACGUGUGGCAGCAGUGGGGAAUGUUGGACCCAGCGCGCCCGCGUGGUGCAGCGACGCCGCGUGGGUGUUAACGGCCUUCGGGUGGUAAGCACCUUUCGCUGGUGAUGCCGCGUUUUUGUGACGGUACCUGGAGAAGAAGCACCGGCUAACUACGUG
rnacentral:rRNA from 1 species